rnacentral:misc_RNA from 1 species
UUUCCGUAGGUGAACCUGCGGAAGGAUCAUUCAUAAUAAAGUGUUUUAUGGAACUUUCUAAAAAUCAAUAUCCACCUUGUGUGCAAUGUUAGAUCUCGUCAAUCUUGGCGAGAUUUUUAUACAUCAACUCAUUCUUUAACUAAUUUGUCUGAAAAAUAUUAUGAAUACUUAAUUCAAAAUACAACUUUCAACAACGGAUCUCUUGGCUCUC